GACGAACGCUGGCGGCGUGCUUAACACAUGCAAGUCGAACGCUGAAGCCUAGCUUGCUGGGUGGAUGAGUGGCGAACGGGUGAGUAACACGUGAGUAACCUGCCCCCUUCUUUGGGAUAACGCCCGGAAACGGGUGCUAAUACUGGAUAUUCACUGGUCUUCGCAUGGGGGUUGGUGGAAAGGUUUUUUCUGGUGGGGGAUGGGCUCGCGGCCUAUCAGCUUGUUGGUGGGGUGAUGGCCUACCAAGGCUUUGACGGGUAGCCGGCCUGAGAGGGUGACCGGUCACAUUGGGACUGAGAUACGGCCCAGACUCCUACGGGAGGCAGCAGUGGGGAAUAUUGCACAAUGGGCGAAAGCCUGAUGCAGCGACGCCGCGUGAGGGAUGGAGGCCUUCGGGUUGUAAACCUCUUUCGCUCAUGGUCAAGCCGCAACUUGGGGUUGUGGUGAGGGUAGUGGGUAAAGAAGCGCCGGCUAACUACGUGCCAGCAGCCGCGGUAAUACGUAGGGCGCGAGCGUUGUCCGGAAUUAUUGGGCGUAAAGGGCUUGUAGGCGGUUGGUCGCGUCUGCCGUGAAAUCCUCUGGCUUAACUGGGGGCGUGCGGUGGGUACGGGCUGACUUGAGUGCGGUAGGGGAGACUGGAACUCCUGGUGUGGCGGUGGAAUGCGCAGAUAUCAGGAAGAACACCGGUGGCGAAGGCGGGUCUCUGGGCCGUUACUGACGCUGAGGAGCGAAAGCGUGGGGAGCGAACAGG
rnacentral:rRNA from 1 species